ACAAUUGUAUAAACAUCAUACUUAAAAUCACAGAAAUUAAAUAUGAGAUAAAAGGAUAUUCAAUAAGAUCAAUUGGGUUCAUACAAUUCCAAGAAAAAUAAAAAAAUACAAAACCCGUGUCCCUUUAUUAGGGCUUCAUCCAGCCCUAGUGGGGAAUUUAAGCUUCCAUGCAGUGGUAGACGACAGCAGCAGCACAGCAGCAGGCUCCCAUUCCUUCCUUCUUUAUUUCUUCCUUUGAAAUAUUCCCAAAACACCCAAACUCCUCUCUCUCCUUUUAUUUCUUCUUCUUCCCGUGGGAACUUGUGGGAUUCCGCCUCUGAGAAGAUCUAAGAUCAAACCCAAGCUUGCUUCCCGAAGAGGAGAAAUCUCCUCCUUUUAUAGGAUUUGUCGACCCCUGUUAUCACGCCACGUCGUGGGAAGAUAAGGGCCAAAGAAGAUUUGAUCCGGUGUUGGGAAGAUAGACUGGAAACAAAUCUCGUUGAAGAAGUCGGCUGGGAGCGCAUGGGAUGAAUGGAAGAAAUCGUUGCUUCUUCAACGCAUAGAAGAAGAUCUUGGACAUGGUUGGAACGCGGAGGGAUUGAUCUUUAUCCGUGGAUGCUGGAAGCUGGACGUGGAAGAAUCAACGUGGAGGAGGACGUGGAGAGGAUCUCGGACGGCUGCUGGAAGCAAUCUGGGAAGAAGAGGAUCAAGUGGAUAGGCUGCUACUCUGUUCCUAAGGAAGAGGAUGCUGGGAGGAAGUUGCGAUGGAAUGGGUCUCGGCUUUGGGAUAAGGAUGAUCGGAAAUCUGGAAGACUUAUCUUGACUGGGAUCUAGCGAAAGAAGCUGAGGAUGCUGGGAGGAAGUUGGAUACGGUGGAUGCUAUGCAUUGGAUUCCUGAAGGAAGAACAGUCGACGCUCAUAGCUAGGAUGCUAAUCUGGAAGACGUUGGGAUGAAUCCGUGGAUAAGGGGAUCUUUGGAAUCAAACCGGAAGAGGAGGAUUGAGAUGUUGGUGGAUCACGGAAAGAAUGGGACUUUGAUACUUCGGUUUCGAAACAGAGGAAGCUUGUUUGGAUGCCGUGAAGCUCGGGAAGAUGAAGCUGUGGACAUGGAGCUGGGGAGAUGAACUCUGUUUUGAGGCUGGGAUGCUUAAUCUGCGGACAUGGGAUGGGUAGCUUGAUUCGGAGGAGGGAUAUGGAUGAAGAUAGAUCAACGUGGAUGUGAUUCCGAGGGAAGCUGGGUUGGUUUUAUCUUGGCUGAGAUCUAGCGGAGCAAGGGAUGCAACGUUGACGAUGCUCACGGAGGAGAAUAUCAUGGGAGAGACGUUGGGAGGAGCUGGAUCUUACGAACGGAAUGAAGGCUGGCUUGAUCCGCGAACGGAAGGAAGGAUAAGCUCCGAAGAUGGGAUUUGAGUUUAUCAUGCGAAGAUGGAACCAAUCCGAACGGACGCGAAGGAGGUGAGGAUUUGAGUUUAUCAUACGGAGGAUGGCUCUGUUUGAAAUGCUCACGGGAUGGGGAGAUGAGUUGGGAGCUUUGGAUGGGAAGGGAAGGAAUGACGUGGAAGAAACUCGGACGUGGAUCUGUGAUGAAGAAGUGAUGGGAAGAUGACACGGAUGCGAGGGGAAGUCUGGAUGUGAGUGUGGGGAGGAUGAGGAUGGGUUGGUUGAAGACGCUGGAUUUGGUGAAGGUUGGAUUUGAAAUGGGAUACGGGAGCUGGGAGUUUGAACAAGAUGUAAGGAGUGGAUGGAGCUUUGGGAUCCGUGCAACUACGAUGGUAUGCUUUAAGAUCUGAAAGACAAAUAAUUGAAAGGAUUUUAUUAUUUUUGAGAUUAAAAUAGGAAAAUUGGAUCAUGUAGAAAAAGAGUUAGAACGAGUGGGAAGAAAGUUAGGUGAACUUAUGAAGAGUCAGGAAUUAAUGGAAAGCACUGA
rnacentral:lncRNA from 1 species